CUUCAUCAUCAUCAUCAUUAACAUCAUCACAGCUGACAUUUACUGAACAUUAGCAAUGUGGUAAGCACUGCAGUAAGAGUUUUCAUGUGUCUACUCAUGUGAUCCUCAAUGGAACCUUAAAGAAGACUACAAUGCCAGCAUCUGGGAUAACUACUAGAAUGUUCUCUGCCAUCCACUAAGCAUUGAAUCCCUCCAGACACUGUUACAACAGUCAAUUCAGUUGACAUUUGUAAAGUUCCAAACUGCUUCCCAAAGUUUGUCAGGUGCUGAAGAUGUACAAAAGUAAAAGGUUGCUUCCCAUAAGAUCACAGUGCUAUGGGGGA